AGGGAUUUAGGAUAAUACAAUAAACCGGAAGCCUUCAAAGCUUUAAAUAGAAGUGAAAAUCUUCUAAUCCCUG
rnacentral:tRNA from 1 species